CCUACGGGUGGCAGCAGUGAGGAAUAUUGGUCAAUGGACGAGAGUCUGAACCAGCCAAGUAGCGUGAAGGAUGACUGCCCUAUGGGUUGUAAACUUCUUUUAUAUGGGAAUAAAAUGUUCCACGUGUGGGAUUUUGUAUGUACCAUAUGAAUAAGGAUCGGCUAAAUCCGUGCCAGCAGCCGCGGUAAUACGGAGGAUCCGAGCGUUAUCCGGAUUUAUUGGGUUUAAAGGGAGCGUAGGUGGAUUGUUAAGUCAGUUGUGAAAGUUUGCGGCUCAACCGUAAAAUUGCAGUUGAAACUGGCAGUCUUGAGUACAGUAGAGGUGGGCGGAAUUCGUGGUGUAGCGGUGAAAUGCUUAGAUAUCACGAAGAACUCCGAUUGCGAAGGCAGUUCACUGGACUGCAACUGACACUGAGGCUCGAAAGUGUGGGUAUCAAACAGGAUUAGAUACCCGAGUAGUC
rnacentral:rRNA from 1 species